UGGAUCGAUGAUGAUUUCUGGUCAUCAUCAAUAUGAGUCAUAACGAUGAAUACAUGUCUAGAACUCUGAGGUCCAA
rnacentral:snoRNA from 1 species